UACGAGGGGGCAAGCGUUGUUCGGAAUUAUUGGGCGUAAAGGGUGCGUAGGCGGUCUGAUAAGUCAUCUGUGAAAUCUAUGGGCUCAACCCAUAGUCUGCAGGCGAAACUGUCGGGCUUGAGUAUGGGAGAGGUGAGUGGAAUUUCCGGUGUAGCGGUGAAAUGCGUAGAUAUCGGAAGGAACACCUGUGGCGAAAGCGGCUCACUGGACCAUUACUGACGCUGAUGGCACGAAAGCUACGGGGAGCAAACAGG
rnacentral:rRNA from 1 species